rnacentral:rRNA from 1 species
CCCUUAGAUGUCCUGGGCCGCACGCGCGCUACACUGACAUGUUCAACAAGCCUCCUAGUUCGACAGGAUUUGGGAAAUCUUUGAACGCAUGUCGUGAUAGGGAUAGAUCAUUGCAAUUAUUGAUCUUGAACGAGGAAUUCCUAGUAAACGCGAGUCAUCAGCUCGCAUUGAUUACGUCCCUGCCCUUUGUACACACCGCCCGUCGCACCUACCGAUUAAAUGUUUCGGUGAAGAUUCCGGAUAGGACUUUUUUGAUUUAUUUCAAUUUUGUCUUAAAAGCUAUCUAAACCUCAACAUUUAGAGGAAGGUGAAGUCGUAACA